rnacentral:rRNA from 1 species
UACGUAGGGUGCAAGCGUUGUCCGGAAUUAUUGGGCGUAAAGAGCUCGUAGGCGGUUUGUCGCGUCGAAUGUGAAAACCCGGGGCUCAACCCCGGGCCUGCAUUCGAUACGGGCAGACUAGAGUUCGGUAGGGGAGUCUGGAAUUCCUGGUGUAGCGGUGAAAUGCGUAGAUAUCUGGAGGAACACCGGUGGCGAAAGCGGAUCACUGGAUCGAAACUGACGCUGAGGUGCGAAAGCUAGGGUAGCAAACGGG